UGUGUGUGUGUGUGUGUGUGUGUGUGUGUAUCUGUGGCACACAGAUACACACUGACACACCAACACACACACCUU